ensembl:lncRNA
GAGAAACACUCCAGCUCUGCUCAGACCACAAUACAAUCAUUAGAUCUGGGAUUAUUAUGACUGAGGAAAAGUCAUGACUAUGUUUGCAUCUGAGUAGAGCCACAGACACCUACACAGGGAGAAAAUCAGAUCUCUGUAUGUGCACAGGCUCCACUUGUUUCAGCACUCCCUUCCUCUGGGGUGAACUUUCCAUGGAAGGGAGAAGGAAAAACACACACUUAAAGGGAAAAGAGUCAGCCCAAGUCCAACCUUCAGGGUUUCUGCUCCAGCAACUUGGGAUCAGACCUUGUACCUGACAGGGCUGUGAUGGAUGCUGAGCAGAAAGUUCCACCUCACACUUAGUGCUGGUUCUAGAAACUCCAUCUACAGCCCAUCAAACACCAAGGUGAAAGCUGCCAGCAUACUCUGAGAAAAGACUUGAUUGGCAUCCACAUCAAAUCCAGCCCUCCCACCAAAGGUGCUGGACAUAAGCAAUCUACAUAGGGAUGCUCCCACAUAAGAAAACCCCUUCAAGGAUACAAUAUGUAACUGUUUCACCUAAAUUAAUAGAAGAAGAGAAGUUAAGUAAAAUGAAAAGGCAAAAUAACUACUCUCAAUUGAAAAGAAGAGAAAACUCCUUAAAAACAAUGAAAUGGAGACAAUUUAACAGAGAGAAUUCAGAUACCACCUCUCACCUGUCAGAAUGGCCAUCAUUAACAAAUCAACAAAAAACAAAUGCUGGAGAGAGUGUGGAGAAAAGGGUAUCCUCCUACACUGUUGGUGGGAAUGUAAAUUGGUACAACCACUAUGGAGAACAGUAUGAAGGAAACAGAUCCCAGGUAUAGGAAGUACAGAAGGUCCCAAACAAGAUGAAGCCAAAGAGUCCUGAGCUAAGGCAAAUUAGAGUGGCAAAAGAUAAAAAGAGAAUUCUAAAUGCAGCAAGAGAAAAACAAAUAAGAAGUUACAAGGGAACCCCAAAAAGCUAUCAGCUGAUUUUUCUGUAGAAACUUUGCAGGCCAGAAGGGAGUGGCAUUAUAUAUUCAAAGGGCUGAAAGGGAAAAACCUGCUACCUAGGAUACUCUACCCAGGAAGAUUAUCAUUUAGAAUAUAAGGAGAGAUAAAGAACUUGCCAAAUAAGCACAGACUAAAAGAAUUCAUAAACACUAAAUCUACAUGAUGAAGGGUCAUCUCUAAAUGAAAAGAAGUAAGAAUAUAUGUAAGGGAAAAUCCCACUAGGAAAGGAAAAUAUACAGUAAGGAUUGAAGAUCACUUAAAUAAGCCAGUACAUACAUUCAAAGACAAAACUUGUAAAAACAGCUAAAACUAUAAUAAAUAGUUAAGGAAUAAACAUGAAGAUGUAAAAUAAGAUGUCAAAAAGACAAAAUAUGGUGGGGUAAAAAUAUAAAUCCUAUAGAAUGUGUUUGAACUUAAAUGACUGCCAGUUUAAAACAAGGACAUACAAUUAUGAGUCAACAAGGGAAGAAACAAAAAGAAAAA